UACGGAAGGCAGCAGUGGGGAAUAUUGCACAAUGGGCGCAAGCCUGAUGCAGCCAUGCCGCGUGUAUGAAGAAGGCCUUCGGGUUGUAAAGUACUUUCAGUCGUGAGGAAGGUGUUAAGGUUAAUAACCUUAGCAAUUGACGUUAGCGACAGAAGAAGCACCGGCUAACUCCGUGCCAGCAGCCGCGGUAAUACGGAGGGUGCGAGCGUUAAUCGGAAUUACUGGGCGUAAAGGGCACGCAGGCGGUUAAUUAAGUUGGAUGUGAAAUCCCCGGGCUUAACCUGGGAAUGGCAUUCAAGCUGGUUAGCUAGAGUCUUGUAGAGGGGGUAGAAUUCCAUGUGUAGCGGUGAAAUGCGUAGAGAUGUGGAGGAAUACCGGUGGCGAAGGCGGCCCCUGGGACAAAGACUGACGCUCAUGUGCGAAAGCGUGGGGAGCGAAACAGGGAUUAGAUA
rnacentral:rRNA from 1 species